rnacentral:rRNA from 1 species
GACGAACGCUGGCGGCGUGCUUAACACAUGCAAGUCGAACGGAAAGGCCCUGCUUUUGUGGGGUGCUCGAGUGGCGAACGGGUGAGUAACACGUGAGUAACCUGCCCUUGACUUUGGGAUAACUUCAGGAAACUGGGGCUAAUACCGGAUAGGAGCUCCUGCUGCAUGGUGGGGGUUGGAAAGUUUCGGCGGUUGGGGAUGGACUCGCGGCUAUCAGCUUGUUGGUGGGGUAGUGGCUUACCAAGGCUUUGACGGGUAGUCGGCCUGAGAGGGUGACCGGCCACAUUGGGACUGAGAUACGGCCCAGACUCCUACGGGAGGCAGCAGUGGGGAAUAUUGCACAAUGGGCGGAAGCCUGAUGCAGCAACGCCGCGUGCGGGAUGACGGCCUUCGGGCUGUAAACCGCUUUCGCCUGUGACGAAGCGUGAGUGACGGUAAUGGGUAAAGAAGCACCGGCUAACUACGUG